rnacentral:lncRNA from 1 species
GAAAUUCUAAAUAUAUAAAAUAUUUAAGUAAAUAUCAACAUGUGUUAAACUAAACUCAGAUGUAUAUUCCGUGUGCAUGUAAAAUAAACAAGGGGAAUAUAGUAGGAUUAACAAAAAUAAGGAAGGACUUAAACAGAAAAUUAAUCAAACAGGGGCAGAACUAUACACCUUGAAAAGCUAACACAUCAGCAAGCCACUCUGUGGGGGAAACCAAUUAGGAAUCGCCAUGCAUGUUGAGCAACGUCAGAAUGCGUCGUCAGAGAGAGGAAGGGUUUAGAUGAAGCCAAGUAAUGCUGACCGGGCACCUCGGACGAUGCAAAUUGAAACACUUCGAAAAGAAUAACUGAGAUGGUGCAAAUAUUUUAUUUUUACCCCAAUAUAAAAAGAAGGGGGCCUGCAGUCCAGAGGGGGAGAAAAGAGGAAACAAGAUUUAAAAAUAGCUAGGCUGAUCGAGAGAAGAACGGGAGGAAGAGUAGGAAGAAAAAGGGGAACUGGUGGUGCUAUGUUAUAGCAUCGCCAAGAAGGAUUUGAGAGAGAGUCAGCACUGCAAGUGAACGACCACGCGGAGACAAGAGGUAAGUCAUAUUUGAGUUUUAAACCCGAAAUUAAAAUUCGUAGUUGGAGAAAAUAUUGUAGAUCUUAUUCUAUGUUUGAAUUUAGAGUUGGUAAAGAGUGAAAAAAAAAUAGUUUUUGUCCUGAUAAGAAAUAAUCGUUUAAUAAUUCCUAAGUUGAUAGAGUAGGAAAAGAGAUUUCUUCAGAAAAAUUUUAAGAAACAUAUUUAAGGAGAGAACAUAAUUUUGUUCGAGUAGAGAGAACUGGUAGACAUAGAUGAGUUAUUAAUAGAGGAAAACUUUGGGAAUAACAUGGGAAGGCCAACCGAGACAAGGAGUGAGGUUCUUGAGGAUAUAUCAAAAUAAAAAGGAAAAUAGGGUCAUCUUAGAGAAAUAUACAAGUGGGACAUGGGCUGUUGGGUUUGAACUGGAGGACCUAAAAGUGUGGUGGUGGAAAACACCAAAUGAUGGGUCUUACUAAGUGGUAUAAAGUAUCGAGUAUACCUUAAACCUACUUUGGUAAUAGUGUGUGUGCGUGGCCACCGGGUGGUCGGACAUUGCAUGAUGUUUGUGUGCAUACAUUUCUUUUUAUUUUUUUAAUAUCAUUUACUAAUCGAUUUUUAUAAACGUGCUCUGGUGUGACCCAUUAAAUUAGGUCGAAUAUGGUAUGACUGUCACCAUGGACAGUGGUGAAAUGAAUUGAGUCCUUGGAAGGACAUUUACUGCUUUAUUUUCCCUUACUAUGCAUUGUUAGUUGUUUACCAUGCAUAUGUAAAUAUGUUUUGGUGUGGCCUACUGAAUUAGUUCGAAUAUAGUAUGAGUGUCACCUUAGACAGUGGUGAAUUGGAUGAGUCCCUAGGAGGACGUUUACUGUUUUAUUUUUUUUUUUUUACAUGCAUCACUUAGUUGUUUAAACAAUGACUGUGUGGUGUAUUUGUGAGGGAAAAUAAAGUUAUAUAGAGGAGUAUAAUAAAAUAUUUUUUGUGCUGACAUUUCUUAUGUGUAUUAAUUAUGGUUAUUGAGGAAUAAUGGAGUGAAGGAGUAUUGUGGGACAUUAAGAUGAAAGAGAAGAAUGCAUAGAAUUAUAUUCUAAUUUAUUUUUGUUUAGUUAUCUAUGAUAUAAUGAAUGAAAGAGUUCUGCUAGAAGAGGUUAGAGAUGUAGGAAGUUGUUUAUUAUUUUUUAAAAAAAUUAUUCUUCUUGGCAGUGGUUAAAUGAAUGAAGUUGCUGUUAUGAAAAGUUGGAGCUAAUAAAUAGGUGAUGAAAUUAUAAUAAUUUAUCUUUAUUUUUUUUGUUGUAUUAAUUUUAUUUUUGGGAUAACGGUUGAAUAGGGGUCAUUUCAAGGUGAACCAUUGUGAGAAAAGAGGUCAUAGCUUGAUGAUUACAGAAUAGUUUUUACAAAUAUAUCCUGGAGUGAAUAAGGCUAUAAAAAGAAGAAGCAUAGUAAAAACAGAAUGGAUGAAUGGAUAAAACUAAAGGAGUGUCGCAGCUAGUUAAAGGAAAAAUAAUGAGGGUGGAUGGAUCUAGUUGAGUUAAACAGAAAGGGGUGAAGUUGUAAGAAUAAGAGAUGACAAACUUUAAGGAGAUUGGCAUAGUCGGAUAUGAAGAAAUUGGGAGAUGAAGUCUACGUAUUUCAGUUCGUUUGGUUUUAAAUUCAAGUCUUGUUUACUAGACUCGUAUAGCUCAUUAUUAUUUUAUUUCAGAUCCGGUGAAGCAGAAACAAGGCCAAAAUAUGAAAGGAAAUGAAUUCUCUACAUAGGAGCAUUUAAUGGAGAUAAUUGGUCUAACUCAGUCUUAAAAAUAUUACACACACAGCACUAUAGAAAUUUAUAUUGUAUCUUCUUACUUGCAUCAUUAUAUUUACUCUAUAGAAAAAAUGAUUUGACACGUACAUGUGUAAUAAACAACGGAUUAUAUAUACAUAAAUACUUAUUGUGAAUUGGGAC